rnacentral:rRNA from 1 species
UUCGGAUGAUUCUUGAUUGACUGAGCGGCGGACGGGUGAGUAACGCGUGGGUGACCUGCCCCAUACCGGGGGAUAACAGCUGGAAACGGCUGCUAAUACCGCAUAAGCGCACGGUGUCGCAUGACACAGUGUGAAAACACUCCGGUGGUAUGAGAUGGACCCGCGUCUGAUUAGCUAGUUGGCAGGGUAACGGCCUACCAAAGCAACGAUCAGUAGCCGACCUGAGAGGGUGACCGGCCACAUUGGGACUGAGACACGGCCCAGACUCC